rnacentral:rRNA from 1 species
GAUGAACGCUGGCGGCGUGCCUAAUACAUGCAAGUCGAGCGAACAGACGAGGAGCUUGCUCCUCUGACGUUAGCGGCGGACGGGUGAGUAACACGUGGAUAACCUACCUAUAAGACUGGGAUAACUUCGGGAAACCGGAGCUAAUACCGGAUAAUAUAUUGAACCGCAUGGUUCAAUAGUGAAAGACGGUUUUGCUGUCACUUAUAGAUGGAUCCGCGCCGCAUUAGCUAGUUGGUAAGGUAACGGCUUACCAAGGCAACGAUGCGUAGCCGACCUGAGAGGGUGAUAGGCCACACUGGAAGUGAGACACGGUCCAGACUCCUACGGGAGGCAGCAGUAGGGAAUCGUCCGCAAAGGGCGAAAGCCUGACGGAGCAACGCCGCGUGAGUGAUGAAGGUCUUGGGAUCGUAAAACUCUGUUAUUAGGGAAGAACAAAUGUGUAAGUAACUAUGCACGUCUUGACGGUACCUAAUCAGAAAGCCACGGCUAACUACGUG